AUUGAACGCUGGCGGAAUGCUUUACACAUGCAAGUCGAACGGCAGCACGGACUUCGGUCUGGUGGCGAGUGGCGAACGGGUGAGUAAUGUAUCGGAACGUGCCCAGUCGUGGGGGAUAACGUAGUGAAACUUACGCUAAUACCGCAUACGAUCUAUGGAUGAAAGCGGGGGAUCGCAAGACCUAGCGCGAUUGGAGCGGCCGAUAUCAGAUUAGGUAGUUGGUGGGGUAAAGGCCCACCAAGCCAACGAUCUGUAGCUGGUCUGAGAGGACGACCAGCCACACUGGAACUGAGACACGGUCCAGACUCCUACGGGAGGCAGCAGUGGGGAAUUUUGGACAAUGGGCGAAAGCCUGAUCCAGCCAUUCCGCGUGCAGGAUGAAGGCCCUCGGGUUGUAAACUGCUUUUGUACAGAACGAAAAGGUUUCUACUAAUACUAGGAGCUCAUGACGGUACUGUAAGAAUAAGCACCGGCUAACUACGUGCCAGCAGCCGCCGUAA
rnacentral:rRNA from 1 species